rnacentral:rRNA from 1 species
GACGAACGCUGGCGGCGUGCUUAACACAUGCAAGUCGAACGGAAAGGCCCUGCUUUUGUGGGGUGCUCGGGUGGCGAACGGGUGAGUAACACGUAAGUAACCUGCCCUUGUCUUUGGGAUAACUUAAGGUAACUGGGGUUAAUACCGGAUAGGAGCUCCUGCUGCAUGGUGGGGGUUGGAACGUUUCGGCGGGUGGGGAUGGACGCGCGGCUUAUCAGCUUGUUGGUGGGGGAGUGGCUUACCAAGGGUUUGACGGGUAGCCGGCCUGGGAGGGCGACCGGCCACAUUGGGACUGAGAUACGGCCCAGACUCCUACGGGAGGCAGCAGUGGGGAAUAUUGCACAAUGGGCGGAAGCCUGAUGCAGCAACGCCGCGUGCGGGAUGACGGCCUUCGGGUUGUAAACCGCUUUCGGCUGUGACGAAGCGUGAGUGACGGUAAUGGGUAAAGAAGCACCAGCUAACUACGUG